rfam:Clostridium sp.CAG:217_53_7 isolate CAG:217_53_7 Ley3_66761_scaffold_31209, whole genome shotgun sequence.
GCGGGUGUAGUUCAAUGGUAGAAUCCCAGCCUUCCAAGCUGGUCGUGUGGGUUCGAUUCCCAUCACCCGCU